CCCUCAGUAACGGCGAGUGAAGCGGGAAAAGCCCAGCGUCGAACCUGUGUCGCUUCGCGGCACCGGAAUGUGACGUGUACAGUUUGACCCGGCGAAGACGGAAAAACAAGUCUUGUUGAUCCUUGCCCCAUGGAGGGUGUCAGGCCCGUACGCGUUUUCCUGUCUGAGUCUUCGUGUCAUUCUUGAUUGAGUCGGGUUGUUUGGGAAUGCAGCCCAAAGUCGGUGGUAAACUCCAUCUAAGGCUAAAUAUUUAGACGAGACCGAUAGCGAACAAGUACCGUGAGGGAAAGUUGAAAAGCACUUUGAAGAGAGAGUUCAAUAGUACGUGAAACCGUCCAGAGGUAAACGGUGGAGGCGGACGUUUGCACGCACGUUUUCAGCUUUGUGGCGGGUCUUAGGCGGUUGGGUUGUGCUUCGGUCAGCCCGGCUGUCGAACGGCCUGUUUACGGAGUGCAUUAUCGUGUGUCGCAGCCACGACUGAUUGCCCGGGUGUCUGAUAACUGUGCCGGUGGGCGACUUACGUUGUUUCAGGUGCAGAGGUGGCCUUCUGGGCGAUUGGAGUAGCGAGGAGUGACCCUUCGGGGCGUCCGGACUUGCGGUGAAGUGUGCGUGUUAGGUCAUACUGCUUGCAGUAUUUCUUGGCGCGUGUGUUUUGUCUGUGGGUAUCCGUUCCAUCACUCCCCGUCUGUGGUUUGUUUGUCCUUUACCGACCCGUCUUGAAACACGGACCAAGGAGUCUAACAUGUGUGCGAGUCUCUAAGGUGGAAAACCUCUAGGCGUAAUGAAAGUAACAGGCGGGAAGCGUGCCCUCGGGUGCGCCGCACCGCCGUCCCGUCCGGAUCGCUGCGCGAUAUAUUGGGCGGAGAAGGAGCAUACACGUUGGGACCCGAAAGAUGGUGAACUAUGCCUGUGCAGGAUGAAGCCAGGGGAAACUCUGGUGGAGGUCCGUAGCGAUUCUGACGUGCAAAUCGAUCGUCUGAUUUGGGUAUACGGGCGA
rnacentral:rRNA from 1 species